rnacentral:rRNA from 1 species
GGGUUGUGAGGUUAAGCGACUAAGCGUACACGGUGGAUGCCCUGGCAGUCAGAGGCGAUGAAGGACGUGCUAAUCUGCGAAAAGCGUCGGUAAGGUGAUAUGAACCGUUAUAACCGGCGAUGUCCGAAUGGGGAAACCCAGUGCAAUUCGUUGCACUAUCGUUAACUGAAUACAUAGGUUAACGAGGCGAACCGGGGGAACUGAAACAUCUAAGUACCCCGAGGAAAAGAAAUCAACCGAGAUUCCCCCAGUAGCGGCGAGCGAACGGGGAGCAGCCCAGAGUCUGAAUCAGCUUGUGUGUUAGUGGAACGGUCUGGAAAGUCCGACGGUACAGGGUGAUAGUCCCGUACACCAAAAUGCACAGGCUGUGAACUCGAAGAGUAGGGCGGGACACGUGGUAUCCUGUCUGAAUAUGGGGGGACCAUCCUCCAAGGCUAAAUACUCCUGACUGACCGAUAGUGAACCAGUACCGUGAGGGAAAGGCGAAAAGAACCCCGGCGAGGGGAGUGAAAAAGAACCUGAAACCGUGUACGUACAAGCAGUGGGAGCACCUUCGGGUGUGACUGCGUACCUUUUGUAUAAUGGGUCAGCGACUUAUAUUCUGUAGCAAGGUUAACCGUAUAGGGGAGCCGCAGGGAAACCGAGUCUUAACUGGGCGUUAAGUUGCAGGGUAUAGACCCGAAACCCGGUGAUCUAGCCAUGGGCAGGUUGAAGGUUGGGUAACACUAACUGGAGGACCGAACCGACUAAUGUUGAAAAAUUAGCGGAUGACUUGUGGCUGGGGGUGAAAGGCCAAUCAAACCGGGAGAUAGCUGGUUCUCCCCGAAAGCUAUUUAGGUAGCGCCUCGUGAACUCAUCUUCGGGGGUAGAGCACUGUUUCGGCUAGGGGGUCAUCCCGACUUACCAACCCGAUGCAAACUACGAAUACCGAAGAAUGUUAUCACGGGAGACACACGGCGGGUGCUAACGUCCGUCGUGAAGAGGGAAACAACCCAGACCGCCAGCUAAGGUCCCAAAGUCAUGGUUAAGUGGGAAACGAUGUGGGAAGGCACAGACAGCCAGGAUGUUGGCUUAGAAGCAGCCAUCAUUUAAAGAAAGCGUAAUAGCUCACUGGUCGAGUCGGCCUGCGCGGAAGAUGUAACGGGGCUAAAUCAUGCACCGAAGCUGCGGCAGCGACACUAUGUGUUGUUGGGUAGGGGAGCGUUCUGUAAGCCUGCGAAGGUGUGCUGUGAGGCAUGCUGGAGGUAUCAGAAGUGCGAAUGCUGACAUAAGUAACGAUAAAGCGGGUGAAAAGCCCGCUCGCCGGAAGACCAAGGGUUCCUGUCCAACGUUAAUCGGGGCAGGGUGAGUCGACCCCUAAGGCGAGGCCGAAAGGCGUAGUCGAUGGGAAACAGGUUAAUAUUCCUGUACUUGGUGUUACUGCGAAGGGGGGACGGAGAAGGCUAUGUUAGCCGGGCGACGGUUGUCCCGGUUUAAGCAUGUAGGCUGGUUGUCCAGGCAAAUCCGGAUAAUCAAGGCUGAGGUGUGAUGACGAGGCACUACGGUGCUGAAGUAACAAAUGCCCUGCUUCCAGGAAAAGCCUCUAAGCAUCAGGUAACAUCAAAUCGUACCCCAAACCGACACAGGUGGUCAGGUAGAGAAUACCAAGGCGCUUGAGAGAACUCGGGUGAAGGAACUAGGCAAAAUGGUGCCGUAACUUCGGGAGAAGGCACGCUGGUGUGUAGGUGAAGUCCCUGCGGAUGGAGCUGAGACCAGUCGAAGAUACCAGCUGGCUGCAACUGUUUAUUAAAAACACAGCACUGUGCAAACACGAAAGUGGACGUAUACGGUGUGACGCCUGCCCGGUGCCGGAAGGUUAAUUGAUGGGGUUAUCCGUAAGGAGAAGCUCUUGAUCGAAGCCCCGGUAAACGGCGGCCGUAACUAUAACGGUCCUAAGGUAGCGAAAUUCCUUGUCGGGUAAGUUCCGACCUGCACGAAUGGCGUAAUGAUGGCCAGGCUGUCUCCACCCGAGACUCAGUGAAAUUGAACUCGCUGUGAAGAUGCAGUGUACCCGCGGCAAGACGGAAAGACCCCGUGAACCUUUACUAUAGCUUGACACUGAACAUUGAGCCUUGAUGUGUAGGAUAGGUGGGAGGCUUUGAAGCGUGGACGCCAGUCUGCGUGGAGCCAACCUUGAAAUACCACCCUUUAAUGUUUGAUGUUCUAACGUUGGCCCCUUACCGGGGUUGCGGACAGUGUCUGGUGGGUAGUUUGACUGGGGCGGUCUCCUCCCAAAGCGUAACGGAGGAGCACGAAGGUUAGCUAAUCCUGGUCGGACAUCAGGAGGUUAGUGCAAUGGCAUAAGCUAGCUUGACUGCGAGCGUGACGGCGCGAGCAGGUGCGAAAGCAGGUCAUAGUGAUCCGGUGGUUCUGAAUGGAAGGGCCAUCGCUCAACGGAUAAAAGGUACUCCGGGGAUAACAGGCUGAUACCGCCCAAGAGUUCAUAUCGACGGCGGUGUUUGGCACCUCGAUGUCGGCUCAUCACAUCCUGGGGCUGAAGUAGGUCCCAAGGGUAUGGCUGUUCGCCAUUUAAAGUGGUACGCGAGCUGGGUUUAGAACGUCGUGAGACAGUUCGGUCCCUAUCUGCCGUGGGCGCUGGAGAAUUGAGGGGGGCUGCUCCUAGUACGAGAGGACCGGAGUGGACGCAUCACUGGUGUUCGGGUUGUCAUGCCAAUGGCACUGCCCGGUAGCUAAAUGCGGAAGAGAUAAGUGCUGAAAGCAUCUAAGCACGAAACUUGCCCCGAGAUGAGUUCUCCCUGAGACUUUAAGUCUCCUGAAGGAACGUUAAAGACGAUGACGUUGAUAGGCCGGGUGUGUAAGCGCAGCGAUGCGUUGAGCUAACCGGUACUAAUGAACCGUGAGGCUUAACCUUACAACGCCGAAG